UGGGGAAUAUUGCACAAUGGGCGCAAGCCUGAUGCAGCCAUGCCGCGUGUGUGAAGAAGGCCUUCGGGUUGUAAAGCACUUUCAGCGAGGAGGAAGGGUUCAGUGUUAAUAGCACUGUUCAUUGACGUUACUCGCAGAAGAAGCACCGGCUAACUCCGUGCCAGCAGCCGCGGUAAUACGGAGGGUGCAAGCGUUAAUCGGAAUUACUGGGCGUAAAGCGCACGCAGGCGGUUUGUUAAGUCAGAUGUGAAAUCCCCGCGCUUAACGUGGAACUGCAUUGAAACUGGCAAGCUAGAGUCUUGUAGAGGGGGGUAGAAUUCCAGGUGUAGCGGUGAAAUGCGUAGAGAUCUGGAGGAAUACCGGUGGCGAAGGCGGCCCCCCUGGACAAAGACUGACGCUUAGGUGCGAAAGCGUG
rnacentral:rRNA from 1 species